rnacentral:tRNA from 1 species
GCCUUCGUGAUGGAAUUGGUAGACAUCCCGGUUUUAGGAACCGGUGCCUAGUGCGUGUCGGUUCGAGUCCGACCGAAGGCA